ensembl:lncRNA
GAUAUUAAUGUUAAACAACAAAAUAAUCUCUAGUUCAAGAAAGAAAAUUCCAGUAGAGCAAGAAGGACAACCAUCUAAACAAUUAGAAUACAAUGUGAUGAAUAUCAAGAUAAACAAUUGAACACGUGAUGUAUCGAGAAGUCAGAGGUAGAAGAAUUAACUUUAAGAGGCCUCCCAUCUGCUGACAUUAACUACACAUGCUCUCCAGACACCUGUGUUCAAGGGCAGCAAACAUAAAUGAACCCCCCACCCCACUGGAAAUGCUCCAGGCCACACUGCUUUAGCCUAUUAUGCUGUACUUUAUAAUGGUCUUACUCUUUUUCAGAUAUUCUUGACAUCCACCUUGGAACAAGUACUUUAAGAUGACCAGCAGGUCACUCACUAGGCACUACUCCACAUCUUCAUCGUCAAAUGGUUUUGACCAGUGGGCAUGACCUCCAGUGCUGUCCUUCUUCACUCAUAGUGACAAUGGUUCUAUCUUUACCUUCAGAAGGAGGAGACAGAUAACAGGGCAAUGAUAAGGCUAAUAUCACAUGGCCUGGGCACCAUCCAUCUGCUGCAACAGGCUGAGUCAGAACUGCUCCCCUGAAAAAGCAGGGGCUCUGCAGAAGCCCAGGACGAGUGGGGCAGUUAUAUCCAGUGCUCAGAGGCAAGUGGCAGUGGUGGUGAUAGCAGUGCUGGGGGCCCUGAGUCUGCAGUGCCAGUGUUGGAAGCAGUACCUUUGUGUAUGGGGACAGCAAGCAGUGAUACACCAUUACUGGACCAGUCUGUGCACUACAGUAUUUGAGAUUAAUACCUGGCUACAUGGCCUUAGAAACAGUGCUGGCGAUGGACCCCACUGUUUCAAGCAAACUAAGCAGUCAAACACUGAGCUACACCCUAGGCCUAAUGACACUGACUUGACUCCAUUCUCUUUGUCUCUACUAAAUACAAGUACUUUCAUCCAUGUUUUGGUGGUAGUUCUAUAAGCAACUGAUGAAUCCUUGGUAGUUGGAAAUCAAGAAAUCUAGAAUGCUUCUAAACUUACUCUGACAAUGGAAAUAACCUAUAUCCAUGCUGUUCAAUAUGGCAGCCAGUAAACACUGACCAGUGAUUCAUUUGAUGUGACCAGUAUGACUGAGGAUUAAAUUUUAAAUUUUACUUGAUUUUAAUUAGUCUUAACAGAAAUGAUCACAGGUAUUUAGUGGCCAUAUACAAGUAUGAAACUGCUCAGCUCUAGAGGAAAAAUAAACUCAAGUGAGAGACUCAGGGCUUAUUUAAAUUGUAAUUCCUCUUACCUGGUGAUUUUAUUUCUAGAGUUCUUCACUUCUAAAACCUUAGAAGUUUUACAAUUUGUUUCAUUAAAGGAGACCAUUUAUUGUCAGUCUCUAUAUUAUAUUGCGUAGAGCUUUGGAAUUUAAAUUAGCAAUACCCUUCCACAAAGUGUUCUUUCUUUCACACAUGCCUAUGUGUUCCCUCUUCAUCACAUUGCAUCCUUCACUAUGUGGAAAAAACAUACAGGAAAAAGGGUUAAAAGGAUUGUGUACAAAGACACAAACCAUCCCCAACUUGCAAAAGGCUGCCUUGCAAAGGCUCAUGUGUGAAUUACGCUUUGGAACUUCAGAAAGUUUCUCAUUGACUUAGAAUACUAGAGCAAUCUACUAAAUUCAUUUGACACAAAAUAUAAGAGAAGAUACAUGAGUUACACAAAUAAUCAAAACAAUAAAGUAAUAGUUCUAAUAUAAAUAUAAAACUAAAAUAGAUGUGACAGUUUUUAUUUAGGGUGAGAGGAGGAAAAAGAGGAAUACAGCAUGCAUAGUUUCCUUGAGAACAGGAUACAAAAUGAUGUAGGUGAUGAAGACGCAUGAAUGGAGAAAUCAGCGACCAGCCCUGGAGUAGCUCCUCUCCACUAGCCAGCCUGGGGAAAUACUGUCUGUUCAGUGUGUACAUCACAUGCUGUCUAAGCCAUAAUGUUUCAGUCUGAAGACAUAGUGUGGGCUAUAGAAGAAAUGAGAUGAGCUGAGAGAUCAACAGGCAUUUAUCUGAGAAUGGUAAGUCUAGAAGGCAGAAUACUUGUUAAAGACACUUAUGCCUUAGUUCUUGGAAUUUAUAAUCAUGUUAUCUUACAUGGCAAAGGGGAUUCUGUGAUAUUAUUACUUAAGGAUCUUGAGAUAGAGAAAUUAUAUUGUUUGAUCCAGAUGAGCUAACCUAAUCACCCAAGUUGUUAAAAUUAGAAAACUUUUCUCUGAUACAGACAACUAGAGAGAUAGACCAAGAGAAGGACUCAGCCCAGUGCUUAACAUGGAGGACAAAAAGGGUAUCACCGACAG